rnacentral:lncRNA from 1 species
GCUCAUAGCUUUUUAUUUGCUCUUCCUCCUCCUCCUCUUCUCCCUUCUCCUCCUCCUUCUUCCUCCUCUUCCCCCUCUCUUCCUCUCCCUCCUCUUCAUUUUGGUUUCUCUGUCCUGGCUGUCCUGGAACUCAUUCUGGCCUCUUUUAACUCACAGAGAUCUGGCAUUUUAAAAAAGGCCUAUACCACCACACCCUGCCCAGCAUUUAAAAAAAAAAAAAAAGUUUUGCAGCUUCAGGAGGACUGCAUGAAGCUGUAGGAAGCAGGAGGGAGAGUGGCUGUAAUCUGGAGUGGGGGAUCUGGUGACACUCCACCCCUUCACAAGGAAAUGUUCAUUUGACUGGGUCUUGUGAAGGUGUCAUGGGUAAUCUGAUUUCCAGACAAUAAUGGCCAGGUCAUGUCAAGAAGAAAAUGUUCUAUAAGCUCAGGCCUUUCUAGUUCUUAACGUUCUGUUUUCUCUUCCUUGACAUUUGCUGAGCUACAGAGAGGGUGAAACAGAUAAAUGCUUAUUUUCUUCCUUUCAGGGCUGAGCAUGGCUCACUGUGCUCCAGCUUACUUAUUCUUACUUACUUAUUCUUGAGAGGUUUGACCAGUUACAAAUUUUGAAAUUGUAUAAAAUUAUGUGAAAAAUUAUGAAUUUUCCACAAUGUAAUGCUACCCACUGCAAAAACAAGCUUUCUUUACUGAGGCCAAAAAGCAGCAGUAAUCUGCCUGGAAGCAUAAAUGUUUAGAAAGCAAAUUGAAAGGUUAAUUAUACAUAUUUAACAACAAGCAGCAGUAGCUCCCUUUUUAUGGUCUAUGGCAUCCCCAUCCACAGGUUUUUGUUUUUGUUUUGAGUUUUUUGAGACAGGGUUUCUCUGUAUAGCCCUGGCUGUCCUGGCACUCACUCUGUAGACCAGGCUGGCCUCGAACUCAGAAAUCUGCUUGCCUCUGACUCCCGAGUGCUGGGAUUAAAGGUGUGUGCCAUCACUGCCCAGCACCCACAGGUUUUGAGUUAGAUUACAGUUCCAAACAUUGGUUCCAUUGGAGUAGGUCUUAAAUUCAACUGGAAAGUAGUUGAUUGUACCCGCAGUAGUUGUGCCUUUAUUAUUCAUUGGGAAUAUAACGCUUGGUAUGCUGAUGGCACUAACACAUAGCUGAAUAGCCUGCACAGUGCCUUUUAUGACUACAAAAGCCAGUCAACAGUCCUAAUAUUUAUUCACGUCCCUGUGCUGUCUUAGGCCCCAAUAGGGUCUUAUCAUCUAGUUUUGGUAUGUUACUGACUGACUCAUUGGCAAUAGCCUGUUUGAUAUGUGGAGCCUUUGAGGCCUCUGGCUAAUAAUUCAGGGAUGCAAUCUAUUCCUAGCACUUGGAUUUUUAUUCAGUAGCCUUAUGGCUUGUAGAGGUGUUUUCAAGUUUUUAACCAGUUUUAACACUUAGAGGGACAAGCUUUUGUAAGCUUUUCUAAGUCUCUUUAUCAUCAGCUAUCUUCUAUGCCUUACCUAUCCAUAAAGUGUACAGUUUAACAGUCACCUGGCUCCUGAUCCCCAUAUGGACUGAUUGCCCAUCCUCACUCCUUUAGAUGCUUUUGUGUGUAUUUCAGAUGCACUCCUAAGUCUGUAAUACAUUCAGUGGUUAGUGUUAGUGAAACUUUUUAAAAAACAAAGUGGGGAACUAUCUGUGAAGGCUCUUUGCUGUCCAUUUCAAGCAAGUGUCAAUUGGUCUUGGAAUUCAGCAGAUAAUGGGAUAGUUUAAAAAAGAAAAGAAAAAGAAAGUGAGCUAGUGUUUCUCUGCCUUGCCAGGGCUGAAGUGAAAUUAGGGUCAUGCGUGUGCUCCUUCUUGCUCUUAGGGUCUCACACGCUUUUCGUGCCUGCCACAGCCUCUCCAUUGGCUGCAUCUGGCUGUUGAAAGGGAUCAGAGCUGGCAACUUUCCCAGAAGAAGAAACACACAUAGCAUACUUUUGGGGAGAAUAUUUACCGAGACAAGCUCAGCUCGGUCUUUUUCACAUUUAUCAUUUUAUCUCCAUAUCUGUCCACUGUUGCCCAUUGCCUUUGAUGCUCAUAAGUCCUGCUAGGAACCAGGGCAUACCUGGCCCCAUUACCCACCCAGCCACAAAUAUUCUUCAAUUAGUAGAAAACCAGUAAAUCUGUAGUAGGGUACAGAGCCAUAAGUCACCCUGAUUAGUCAGUCCUCACCUGCGGAUAACCAGUGGCUAUCCUGCGAGAAGCAGUUGGCUGAGCCAGUUCACAAAAUUCCUUUCCUCCACAACAGCCAGUACAAUGGAGGUUGCUUGCAUCUCUUCUACCUCUUUGGUGAACUGUUGUUUGUACUUUAAAACUUUAUAGAUGCUCUUAAACACAACAGUUGUCUUUCUGUCACAAACUUCCCUUGCAACUUCAGCUUUUCACAAAUCCUUUACAAUAGAUAAGAUUUAAAAAAAAGUAUGUAUCUCUCUGUCUACCUGUGUGUGUAUGUGUGUAUGUGUGUGUGUAUGUAUGUAUGUAUUAUGUAUGUAUGUAUGUAUGUAUGUAUGUGUCUGUCUAUCUGUCUGUUGCCUGUGCAAUGCCAGAGGAGGCCAGAAAAUGUAGAAAAUGUAGAAUCCUCUACAGCCUGAGUUCCAGGCAGUUGUGAACUGCUGACAUGGGUUUUGGGAACCAAAUGUUGAUGCUUGAUGAGCUGCGAGUGUGCUAUUAAAGGUUGUAUGUGUCAAACUCUUGUAUGAAUGUACCUUUAUCCGUGCACAUACCAUGCAGCGGUUAAGAGGUCAACAUUGCUAUCUUCCUCUAUCACUCUCCACCU